GCGUGUAUGAAGAAGGCCUUCGGGUUGUAAAGUACUUUCAGUUGUGAGGAAGGGGGUGUCGUUAAUAGCGGCAUCUCUUGACGUUAGCAACAGAAGAAGCACCGGCUAACUCCGUGCCAGCAGCCGCGGUAAUACGGAGGGUGCGAGCGUUAAUCGGAAUUACUGGGCGUAAAGCGCAUGCAGGUGGUUCAUUAAGUCAGAUGUGAAAGCCCGGGGCUCAACCUCGGAACUGCAUUUGAAACUGGUGAACUAGAGUACUGUAGAGGGGGGUAGAAUUUCAGGUGUAGCGGUGAAAUGCGUAGAGAUCUGAAGGAAUACCAGUGGCGAAGGCGGCCCCCUGGACAGAUACUGACACUCAGAUGCGAAAGCGUGGGGAGCAAACAGGAUUAGAUACCCUGGUAGUCCACGCCGUAAACGAUGUCUACUUGGAGGUUGUGGCCUUGAGCCGUGGCUUUCGGAGCUAACGCGUUAAGUAGACCGCCUGGGGAGUACGGUCGCAAGAUUAAAACUCAAAUGAAUUGACGGGGGCCCGCACAAGCGGUGGAGCAUGUGGUUUAAUUCGAUGCAACGCGAAGAACCUUACCUACUCUUGACAUCCAGAGAAGCCAGCGGAGACGCAGGUGUGCCUUCGGGAGCUCUGAGACAGGUGCUGCAUGGCUGUCGUCAGCUCGUGUUGUGAAAUGUUGGGUUAAGUCCCGCAACGAGCGCAACCCUUAUCCUUGUUUGCCAGCGAGUAAUGUCGGGAACUCCAGGGAGACUGCCGGUGAUAAACCGGAGGAAGGUGGGGACGACGUCAAGUCAUCAUGGCCCUUACGAGUAGGGCUACACACGUGCUACAAUGGCGCAUACAGAGGGCGGCGAACUUGCGAGAGUGAGCGAAUCCCAAAAAGUGCGUCGUAGUCCGGAUUGGAGUCUGCAACUCGACUCCAUGAAGUCGGAAUCGCUAGUAAUCGUAGAUCAGAAUGCUACGGUGAAUACGUUCCCGGGCCUUGUACACACCGCCCGUCACACCAUGGGAGUGGGCUGCAAAAGAAGUGGGUAGUUUAACCUUC
rnacentral:rRNA from 1 species